AACGAACGCUGGCGGCAGGCUUAACACAUGCAAGUCGAACGCCCCGCAAGGGGAGUGGCAGACGGGUGAGUAACGCGUGGGAACGUGCCCUUCGCUUCGGAAUAGCCCCGGGAAACUGGGAGUAAUACCGAAUACGCCGUAUUGGGAAAGAUUUAUCGGCGAAGGAUCGGCCCGCGUUAGAUUAGCUAGUUGGCGGUGUAAUGGACCACCAAGGCUACGAUCUAUAGCUGGUCUGAGAGGAUGAUCAGCCACACUGGGACUGAGACACGGCCCAGACUCCUACGGGAGGCAGCAGUAGGGAAUAUUGGACAAUGGGCGCAAGCCUGAUCCAGCCAUGCCGCGUGAGUGAUGAAGGCCUUAGGGUUGUAAAGCUCUUUCACCGGAGAAGAUAAUGACGGUAUCCGGAGAAGAAGCCCCGGCUAACUUCGUGCCAGCCGCCGCUGUAAUAC
rnacentral:rRNA from 1 species